UACGUAGGGGGCUAGCGUUGUCCGGAAUCAUUGGGCGUAAAGCGCGCGUAGGCGGCCCGGUAAGUCCGCUGUGAAAGUCGGGGGCUCAACCCUCGAAUGCCGGUGGAUACUGCCGGGCUAGAGUGCGGAAGAGGCGAGUGGAAUUCCUGGUGUAGCGGUGAAAUGCGCAGAUAUCAGGAGGAACACCGAUUGCGAAGGCAGCUCGCUGGGACGUAACUGACGCUGAGACGCGAAAGCGUGGGUAGCAAACAGG
rnacentral:rRNA from 1 species